ensembl:lncRNA
GGUUCCUUGCGGGCAGGUCGGAGGACGAGGUCCGCUCCCAUGUGGCACUGGCAUUACAGGUGUUCCGCAAGCUCGGCCUACUGGUCAAUGUACCCAAGUCCUCACUGAUCCCCACGCAGAGACUGGAUUUCAUAGGAGCAGUCCUGGACUCGGUGGCGGCACGGGCAAGUCUUCCAGUUUCCAGGUUCCUGGCCAUUCAAAAGGUCGUAAGCUCCAUCCAACAGUUUCCCACGACCACGGCCAGAUGCUGUAUGCAACUCCUGGGACACAUAGUGGCUUGCACACACGUAGUCAGACAUGCCCGCCUGAGACUCAGACCGUUACAGCUGUGGCUAGCCCAAACGUAUCGCCCCAACAGAGACCCCUUGGACCUAGUAGUGACAAUCCCAGCUCGGGUAUCGAACUCCCUCUGCUGGUGGCUCGAUCAGCAGCAAGUUUGCAAAGGGGUCCCUUUCGCCACCCCGCAACCCACUCUGACGUUAGUGACAGAUGCGUCGGACCUGGGCUGGGGGGCGCACCUAGGGGAGCUGCGGACCCCGGGCUUAUGGUCCAGGGAAGAAAGGUUGCUCCACAUCAAUCUGAAGGAGUUAAGGGCAGUUCGCCUCGCCUGCCAGACCUUUCACGCUACCAUAGAAGGCCACAGCGUGUCAGUUCUGACAGACAACACUACCGCCAUGUUCUACAUAAACAAGCAGGGCGGGUCCUGAUCCUCUCCCCUCUGUCACAAGGCUCUCCUCCUAUGGGACUUCUGUAUAGCCCAUUCAGUCCACCUACUGGCAGCAUAUCUCCCAGGGGUCCAAAACGGGUUAGCAGACCACCUCAGCAGGUCGUACCACAUGCACGAAUGGACGCUGAGAAAGGACGUCCUGCAUUCAAUCUUCCAGAGGUGGGGGUUUCCCCAGGUGGAUCUCUUCACCACCAAGGACAACAGCCAAUGCCCUCAGUUUUGUUCAUUCCAGAACCAAAGCCCGGGAUCAUUGACAGAUGCCUUCGUGAUUCAGUGGGGCGGGAGCCUGAGGUAUGCCUUCCCACCAUUCCCACUCAUCCACAGGGUCCUGCUCAAGACCCGCAGGGACAAGGCGACAAUCAUCCUCAUCGCACUGGCGUGGCCACGUCAGCAUUGGUUCAUGACCCUGCUGAAACUGUCAUUGACUGCCCCGAUUACCUUACCCCUCCAUCGCGACCUCGUCACACAGGACCGGGGUCGCCUACUCCACCCGAACUUACCAUCGCUACAUCUCACGGCGUGGUAUCUCUCUGGCUAAACGAUACGGAGCAUAGGUGCUCCCACCAGGUCCAGCAAAUUCUUCUUGGUAGUAGGAAGACCUCCACAAGAGCGACCUACCUUGCCAAAUGGAAGAGAUUCUCCCUCUGGUGCGAGCGUAAUCUCAUACAGCCUCUCCGGGCCUCCAUCCCAUCAAUACUGGACUACUUGCUGCACCUCAAGCAUCAAGCGCUCACCCCCGCCUCAAUUAAAGUGCAUCUGGCCACCAUAUCGGCGUUCCACCUGGGAGAGUUGGGGGGUUCGGUAUUCUCCAACCCCACAGUAGUCCAAUUCCUCAAGGGGCUGGAGAAGGUGUUUCCCUACUCGCGCCCGCCGGUCCUCACAUGGAACCUUAACCUGGUCGUAACUAAACUCAUGGGACCGCCCUUUGAACCCCUAGCCUCUUGCUCCCUCAUGCACCUCUCAUGGAAGGUAGCGUUUCUAGUGGCCAUCACAUCGGCUAGGAGGGUAUCAGAGUUGAGAGCCCUCACUUCGGAACCCCCAUAUACAGUUUUUUAUAAGGAUAAGGUGCAACUGAGGCAGCACCCCAAGUUCCUUCCUAAGGUGGUCACGCAAUUUCAUAUGGGGCAGGACGUUUGUUUACCCGUGUUCUUCCCUAAGCA